rnacentral:rRNA from 1 species
CUACGGGGGGCUGCAGUGGGGAAUAUUGGACAAUGGGGGAAACCCUGAUCCAGCAAUGCCGCGUGUGUGAAGAAGGCCUGCGGGUUGUAAAGCACUUUCGGUUGGGAGGACUGCUUCUAGCACUAAUAUUGUUGGAAGUUGACGUUACCUUCAGAAGAAGCACCGGCUAACUCCGUGCCAGCAGCCGCGGUAAUACGGAGGGUGCAAGCGUGAAUCGGAAUUACUGGGCGUAAAGUGCGCGUAGGCGGCUAGAUCAGUCGGGUGUGAAAGCCCCGGGCUUAACCUGGGAACUGCAUCCGAUACUGUCUAGCUUGAGUACAGGAGAGGAGAGUGGAAUUCCACAUGUAGCGGUGAAAUGCGUAGAUAUGUGGAGGAACACCAAUGGCGAAGGCAGCUCUCUGGCCUGAUACUGACGCUGAGGUGCGAAAGCGUGGGGAGCAAACAGGAUUAGAUACCCCGGUAGUC